GCAGUGGUAGUUCAGUGGUAAAAGUCUUACCUUCCAUGCAGGAGACCCGGGUUUGAAGGUUUGAUUCCUGGCCAAUGCA
rnacentral:tRNA from 1 species